rnacentral:rRNA from 1 species
GUGUGGAAAGUGGCAGACGGGUGAGUAACGCGUGGGAAUAUACCUAGAGGUACGGAACAACGCCGGGAAACUGGUGCUAAUACCGUAUACGCCCUUCGGGGGAAAGAUUUAUCGCCUUUGGAUUAGCCCGCGUUAGAUUAGCUUGUUGGUGAGGUAAAAGCUCACCAAGGCGACGAUCUAUAGCUGGUCUGAGAGGAUGACCAGCCACACUGGGACUGAGACACGGCCCAGACUCC